rnacentral:rRNA from 1 species
UACGUAGGGUGCAAGCGUUGUUCGGAAUCAUUGGGCGUAAAGAGCUCGUAGGCGGCUUAGUUAGUCGGGUGUGAAACCCCCCAGGCUCAACCUGGGGACGCCACUCGAUACUGCUAUAGCUAGAGUCCAGUAGGGGAGUGUGGAAUUCCCGGUGUAGCGGUGAAAAUGCGCAGAUAUCGGGAGGAACACCGGUGGCGAAGGCGGGUCUCUGGGCCGUAACUGACGCUGAGGAGCGAAAGCGUGGGGGAGCGAACAGG